rnacentral:rRNA from 1 species
CCUACGGGAGGCAGCAGUAAGGAAUAUUGGACAAUGCUCGCAAGAGUGAUCCAGCCAUGCCGCGUGCAGGAAGAAUGCCCUAUGGGUAGUAAACUGCUUUUGAACUAGAGAAAACCCCAGUACGUGUACUGGGCUGAUAGUAUAGUUAGAAUAAGCAUCGGCUAACUUCGUGCCAGCAGCCGCGGUAAGACGAAGGAUGCAAGCGUUAUCCGGAUUCAUUGGGUUUAAACGGGAGCGUAGGUGGACUUAUAAGUCAGUGGUGAAAUCUCCGAGCUUAACUCGGAAAUUGCCAUUGAUACUGUAGGUCUUGAGUACAGUUGCUGUGGGCGGAAUAUGACAUGUAGUGGUGAAAUACAUAGAGAUGUCAUAGAACACCGAUUGCGAAGGCAGCUCACAAAGCUGUAACUGACACUGAGGCUCGAAAGUGCGGGGAUCAAACAGGAUUAGAUACCCUGGUAGUCCGCACCGUAACGAUGAUUACUCGCUGCUAGGGGGUCAACCUUUAGUGGCUUAGCGAAAGCGAUAGAAUCCACCUGGGGAGUCGCGGCAACGGUGAAACUCAAAUAGAGUUAGAGNGNGAGAGNGCGACGGCGACGACGAGGGAGAGG